GAGCACGAAGAAGCUGACGAUGAGCAGGAAGGAGAUGAAGUAGAGCAGCAUCCAGGGGUUGUGGUUCUGCACGGGCUGCAGCACACAAGAAGGUCACCCAUGAGAAUGGUCCCAGCCUUGCUCACCUGCUGGUCGAUGCCCACGGCAUCCAGCCCAUCAUACAUGAUGUUUACCCAGCCAUCCUUAGAUGACAGCACGAACAGAGACAUCAGCGCCUGUGUGGGAGGGUAAGGGUCACUGGAAGGGUUAAGGACGGUAACCAUAUCCCCCGCACAAGUGGUCACCUCUGUGGCCACACCGCACACCACCCGUACCUACCUGACCCAGGUUGUCAAAGUUGUAUUUGCGCCUCACCCAGCGGUAGUGGGCAGCAUGGCACUCGGCCUUGGUGGUGAUAUUCCUGGUAUCUGUGCCCUCGCAGUAGUAGAAUUUGCCCUUGAAAAGCUGACCGGAAGGGGUUGUUACUCAAGAGAGCCUGGCACAACCGCUGGCCCACAGACCUGCCUACCUUAGGCCUCUUAAGAUUCCAAACUAGAGGUGCUGACCACCCAACCGGGGAGGACAGGACCCAUCCCACCAGUGGGGAGCAGAGGCCCAGGGUGGGGCAGACCUUGGGCAAGCCAGGGCCACACACCUGCACCCCGAGGAUGCCAAAGAUGAUGAAGAAGGCGCAGCAUAUGAGGACGAUGUUCCCAAUGGGCCUGAGCGAGGAUAUCAGAGUCUCUACAACCAGCUUGAGGCCCGGAGCUCGGCUGAUGACCCUGCACCCAGGCAGAGGGGAUCUAAGAGGGCGACCAGUGGGCAGAAGCGAUGGUUCAUGCAAGGCCCCCCCAGGGUGAUGUGAACGUGUGGCUGGAGAGCCACACAGUUGGGCAGAGGUGGGGGUGGGCUUCUGGGUCCUUCCUGGACGUAUAUGGGUGGCCCCUGCCCCCUACACCCCACCUCAGAGGCCUCAGGGUCCGCAGCAGGCGUAGCACACGCAGGACGCCUAGGAUCUUGGCACCGCCAGCUGAGGCCAUGGCCACGAUGAUGUCAACCAGGGACACCAGGACAAGCAGCCCAUCCAGCACAUUCCAACUGCUCUGUAGGUAGGCAUGUUCACCCCACAGCAGUCCCAGGGCUACCACCUGGGGGAGGGGCAGUCAUGUAAAGGUUUGGCAGAGAGCCCCAGGACAGGGCAGUUUGGGACGGAGACCCAAGCAUGGAGGGGAACAUCAGUACCUUCACCAUCAUCUCCACCACGAAGAUGGCUGUGAAGAUGUAGUUGGAGACGCUGAGGAAGGCCCGCUCCUGCAGGGAGAGACCAGCGGGAGGUCCACGUCCACCUCACCCUGUCCCACCCAGAGGGCCAGCUUGCCUUCGGAGACUCACAGUGCUGCCUGGGUCAAUGUCUGGCCUCUCCAGGGCAAUGGUGAUACAGUUGAGGAAGAUGAAGACAAGGACCACGUGGUCAAACAUCUUGUGUGCGAUGACUUUCUGGCAGGAGACGCGUAGCCUGAGAGGCAGCUCCUGACGCUGAGGGGCUUGGCCCCCGAUGGGCAGUAACUCCUAACCUGGGACAAACUUGAAGUUGGACCCCUGCCCUGGCUGGCCUGCUCCCUUCCCUUCUGAGUCACCAUGAAUAAUACCCUGAAUGCCUGCCUCAAAUUCUGCUCUGAAGAGCCAGCCCCG